rnacentral:rRNA from 1 species
ACGAACGCUGGCGGCAUGCCUAACACAUGCAAGUCGAACGAGACCUUCGGGUCUAGUGGCGCACGGGUGCGUAACGCGUGGGAACCUGCCUUGAGGUUCGGAAUAACUCCCCGAAAGGGGUGCUAAUACCGGAUAAUGUCUUCGGACCAAAGAUUUAUCGCCUUUAGAUGGGCCCGCGUUGGAUUAGCUAGUUGGUGGGGUAAAGGCCUACCAAGGCGACGAUCCAUAGCUGGUCUGAGAGGAUGAUCAGCCACACUGGGACUGAGACACGGCCCAGACUCCUACGGGAGGCAGCAGUGGGGAAUAUUGGACAAUGGGCGAAAGCCUGAUCCAGCAAUGCCGCGUGAGUGAUGAAGGCCUUAGGGUUGUAAAGCUCUUUUACCAGGGAUGAUAAUGACAGUACCUGGAGAAUAAGCUCCGGCUAACUCCGU